GCACGCAUCUGCAGGGACAAUGUCACCAAACCUGAUGCUGAUUAUAUCCCCCCCAGGUACCAAUGUGGAAGCAUCAAGCUCUUGCCACUGCUCAUCUCUAAGAACCUGAAAAAAAAAACCUUUGUUUUUAGCGCCAACCGGGACAUGAGUGCAGCAGCUGCAUCGCCUGCAUUGUUUUCCUUAAUGAAGCUGAUUGUUGAAUUGAUAAUCGGGAGGCAGACAAUUCCCAGGAAAUCCUCCCAAUCAGUACCUUGGCUCUGA
rnacentral:lncRNA from 1 species